AAAUCUUUCAGGUCAGCAUGUCACUCUUCGAGAUGUUUGAUUUGGGCUGAGGCAGUGGAUAGCUAUUCAGAAUUAUGGGUCAGCAUGUCACUCUUCGAGAUGUUUGAUUUGGGCUGAGGCAGUGGAUAGCUAUUAAGAAUUAUGGGCAAGUCUUGUUGAUUGUUAUGUUAUUGUUGUAUAAUCAUAUUUUGUAUGUAAUGAAAUGUUGUUGAUGAAUCGAAAUGGAUAUACUGUGUAAAAGUGUUAGAAGAUCUCUCUUAUUUGGAAUUUCGAAAUGUUAAGCCUAAUUUAUGAUGA